CAUGAAAUGACUUACGUGCCCAUUCCUGGAGAGAGGGGACUCUGUGACAAAUUCUUUCACGUUAUGACGUUUAUGAAUGAGAUCAGAUCGUUGGGGAGUCAGACUAAUGAGGAGAAUCACACCUGAAUUUUAGCUGGAUUCAUGGUUGCAUGGAGAAACUUCUGCCCAUUGAGAUGCUCUGAAGAUUGAGGAAGAUGACACAAGAUAAACAGGGCAGACGUCCUUCAGAAGCUGGGAAAGGCAACAAAAUGGAUUCUCCUCCAGAGUCUCCAGAAAUAACUACGACCCACCAACACCUGAUUUUGACCCUCAGGACCCACUGUGGACUUCUGACCUACAGAAUCACAAAUCCUCACUGAAUGAGCUCACAAGUCAGAAUUAUGAACUACAUAAGGAAACA